rnacentral:rRNA from 1 species
AGUGAACGCUGGCGGUAGGCCUAACACAUGCAAGUCGAACGGCAGCACAGUAAGAGCUUGCUCUUACGGGUGGCGAGUGGCGGACAGGUGAGGAAUACAUCGGAAUCUACUUUUUCGUGGGGGAUAACGUAGGGAAACUUACUCUAAUACCGCAUACGACCUACGGGUGAAAGCAGGGGAUCUUCGGACCUUGCGCGAUUGAAUGAGCCGAUGUCGGAUUAGCUAGUUGGCGGGGUAAAGGCCCACCAAGGCGACGAUCCGUAGCUGGUCUGAGAGGAUGAUCAGCCACACUGGAACUGAGACACGGUCCAGACUCCUACGGGAGGCAGCAGUGGGGAAUAUUGGACAAUGGGCGCAAGCCUGAUCCAGCCAUACCGCGUGGGUGAAGAAGGCCUUCGGGUUGUAAAGCCCUUUUGUUGGGAAAGAAAAGCAGCAGGUUAAUACCCCGCUGUUCUGACGGUACCCAAAGAAUAAGCACCGGCUAACUUCGUG